UGUUUGGAGCUAUAUUUAAAUUCUGAGCAGCUGAUUGGUUCUCUUGUUGAUUAAUACCAAUCAACAAGAGAACCGAUCAGCUGCUCAGAAUU